ACUGUUUUUCAGAAAACAGGAUGAGGGGAACUCGUCGAUCAGCCAGAUUGACUGGAGUACCACCUGAGGAUGAGGGCAUGAGCGCCCGUCCUCCAGCAUUGCCUAGGGCAAUGUCUAGUAGGUCUAACCGAGAUAGAGCAGCAAGAGACCCUAGAAGGUCUCUGGAUCUGGGUAGAAGCAGAUCAGUCAGAGGAACAGUUCAGGGAGGAGCGUCAGAGGACGUGGGGGAUGAUAUGGAUGUAGAGCAGAGGAGGGAUGGCAGUCUGGGAGUUAGCAUGUCGGAG
rnacentral:lncRNA from 1 species